AUUGAACGCUGGCGGAAUGCUUUACACAUGCAAGUCGAACGGCAGCACGGGGCAACCUGGUGGCGAGUGGCGAACGGGUGAGUAACACAUCGGAACGUGCCCAAUCGUGGGGGAUAACGUAGCGAAAGUUACGCUAAUACCGCAUACGAUCUACGGAUGAAAGCGGGGGAUCGCAAGACCUCGCGCGAAUGGAGCGGCCGAUGUCAGAUUAGGUAGUUGGUGGGAUAAAGGCUCACCAAGCCGACGAUCUGUAGCUGGUCUGAGAGGACGACCAGCCACACUGGGACUGAGACACGGCCCAGACUCCUACGGGAGGCAGCAGUGGGGAAUUUUGGACAAUGGGCGCAAGCCUGAUCCAGCCAUUCCGCGUGCAGGAUGAGGGCCUUCGGGUUGUAAACUGCUUUUGUACGGAGCGAAAAGGCUCUCUCUAAUACAGGGGGCUCAUGACGGUACCGUAAGAAUAAGCACCGGCUAACUACGUGCCAGCAGCCGCCGUAAUAC
rnacentral:rRNA from 1 species